GUCUACCCUCAGAAAAUAGAACAUCCUCAACUUAUGACCAGAAUCGGGGCCAGAGAUUCCAUUGUUAAGCAAAGGGCUUGUUAAUAUCAUCCAUGGAAUCCAGAUUGAAAGCAAAAAGAAUGGAGAUGGGUCUUCCCAAAAUAACUUUCAAGAGAAACAUUGGGAGUUUGGGGUAUGGGAAGCAACCUUGUGAGGGUGAACUGAGCUGAGAAAAAGUGAUUGGCUCAAGGUCACCCUGCUGGCUUUCAUGGCUAAGGCAGGAUUAGAACUCACAGCCUCCUGAUGUCUAGCCUGGCGCCUUUAUCUUCAUCUUAAUAAGUCCAUCCAAAGUGGUCUCUGUG